UACGUAGGGAGCAAGCGUUGUCCGGAAUCAUUGGGCGUAAAGCGCGCGUAGGUGGCCUCAUAAGUCCGCUGUGAAAGUCAAAGGCUCAACCUUUGAAAGCCGGUGGAUACUGUGAGGCUAGAGUACGGAAGAGGCGAGUGGAAUUCCUGGUGUAGCGGUGGAAUGCGCAGAUAUCAGGAGGAACACCAAUAGCGAAGGCAGCUCGCUGGGACGUUACUGACACUGGGGCGCGAAAGCGUGGGGAGCAAACAGG
rnacentral:rRNA from 1 species